rnacentral:rRNA from 1 species
UGAGGAAUAUUGGUCAAUGGACGGAAGUCUGAACCAGCCAAGUAGCGUGAAGGAUGAAGGUUCUAUGGAUUGUAAACUUCUUUUAUACGGGAAUAAAAAACUCUACGUGUAGGGUCUUGUAUGUACCGUAUGAAUAAGCAUCGGCUAACUCCGUGCCAGCAGCCGCGGUAAUACGGAGGAUGCGAGCGUUAUCCGGAUUUAUUGGGUUUAAAGGGAGCGCAGACGGUAUGUUAAGUCAGCUGUGAAAGUUUGGGGCUCAACCUUAAAAUUGCAGUUGAAACUGGCGUACUUGAGUGCGGUUGAGGUAGGCGGAAUUCGUGGUGUAGCGGUGAAAUGCUUAGAUAUCACGAAGAACUCCGAUUGCGAAGGCAGCCUACUAAGCCGUAACUGACGUUCAUGCUCGAAAGUGUGGGUAUCAAAC